rnacentral:lncRNA from 1 species
AUCCCCAGAUGGAGAGAGAGAAACAGGCAGUGGGUGAGACCAGAGCUCCCACCUGAACACAGUCCCCAGCACAGCAUUUUUGACUGCACCCCGAGUCCCACCAGGGCCCCUGUACCACUUCUACAGCCCACAGGAUCAGGCCCACUCAUCUCUACUAGGCAAAGAUUCCAGGGCAGGCCCAGCUGGAAGGAGGCGGCACCCCCAGCCCAGUGUAAUCAAGUCAACAGCCAGACCAAAACCUGUGAUCAGCCAACAAAGUGCGCACUCAAAAGUUCUGGGCCACCAAACCAUACUGAGCCUGAACAGGGGCAGGGAGAAUGUCUGAGAGGAUAUGGCCAUUGAAGACGGGGAAGAAAGAACAAAGGCUGCAUCUUCUGGAAGAGACCACAACCAGGGCAAGCACUCCAGGGAGCCUACGAGGGGGCUCUGCGGGGAUGAGCCCAUGGGAGGCUGGGGUGUAGGAGUGCUCAGAACAACAACUCUGGGACACAAGAAGCUACAGGCACCAACAGUGAGGUCUCAGAAGGGUCCCAGCUGGUGGCCUCCAAAUUCUCCAUACUGCAGAACCCCAAUCUGCUCAAAAUCCUUGAAUGGUUUCUGAUUGCUCUUAAGCUGAAGACCAACAUUCUCUCCCUUCCCCUAGGUCUAAAAUAAACACAUACUCCCCACCUCUGGGGCACCAAGAGUUGCAGCCACACCAGGCUGGUCUGUUGCCUCACAUGCACUGCACUCCCUCUUGCCACAGGGCCCUUGCUCCUGCUGCCUGCACUGCCCUCCCCCUCGCCCCCCUCAGUGAUCAACUCCCACUCAUCCUGCAGAUUUCAGCUUGGAUGUCACCUCCCGAGGGACGCUGUGCCUGCCUCCCUCGUCAGAGCAGGUGUUGUCAUCUACUCACAGAAUUUGGCUUCCUUCCACAAAGCAACCCCGUGACCAUCUGUUUAACAUUGUCUCUCCACCUAGACUGUAAGGUCCGUGAAAGCAGGGACCACACCCAUUUGUGCUCACUUGGGACCUACAGCCUCUAAUCCAGAGCCUGACACAAA